AUUGAACGCUGGCGGCAGGCUUAACACAUGCAAGUCGAGCGGGGUGAUGGUGCUUGCACUAUCACUUAGCGGCGGACGGGUGAAUAAUGCUUAGGAAUCUGCCUAUUAGUGGGGGACAACAUCUCGAAAGGGAUGCUAAUACCGCAUACGUCCUACGGGAGAAAGCAGGGGAUCACUUGUGACCUUGCGCUAAUAGAUGAGCCUAAGUCGGAUUAGCUAGUUGGUGGGGUAAAGGCCUACCAAGGCGACGAUCUGCAGCGGGUCUGAGAGGAUGAUCCGCCACACUGGGACUGAAACACGGCCCAGACUCCUACGGGAGGCAGCAGUGGGGAAUAUUGGACAAUGGGGGGAACCCUGAUCCAGCCAUGCCGCGUGUGUGAAGAAGGCCUUAUGGUUGUAAAGCACUUUAAGCGAGGAGGAGGCUCUUUUGGUUAAUACCCAAGAUGAGUGGACGUUACUCGCAGAAUAAGCACCGGCUAACUCUGUGCCAGCCGCCGCUGUAA
rnacentral:rRNA from 1 species